GACGAACGCUGGCGGCGUGCUUAACACAUGCCAGUCGAACGGAAAGGCCCUGCUUUUGUGGGGUGCUCGAGUGGCGAACGGGUGAGUCACACGUGUGUAACCUGCCCUUGACUUUGGGAUAACUUCAGGAAACUGGGGCUAAUCCCGGAUAGGAGCUCCUGCUGCAUGGUGGGGGUUGGAAAGUUUCGGCGGUUGGGGAUGGACUCGCGGCUUAUCAGCUUGUUGGUGGGGUAGCGGCUUAGCAAGCCUUUGACGGGUAGCCGGCCUGCGGGGGUGACCGGCCAGAUUGGGACUGAGAUACGGCCCAGACUCGUACGGGAGGCAGCAGUGGGGAAGAUGGCACAAUGGGCUGAAGCCUGAUGCAGCAGCGCCACGUGCGGGAUGACGGCCUUCGGGUUGUAAACCGCUUUCGCCUGUGACGAAGCGUGAGUGACGGUAAUGGGUAAAGAAGCACCGGCUAACUACGUG
rnacentral:rRNA from 1 species